rnacentral:rRNA from 1 species
UGAACGCUGGCGGCAGGCCUAACACAUGCAAGUCGAGCGGCCAGCACGGGUACUUGUACCUGGUGGCGAGCGGCGGACGGGUGAGUAAUGCCUAGGAAUCUGCCUGGUAGUGGGGGAUAACGUCCGGAAACGGGCGCUAAUACCGCAUACGUCCUACGGGAGAAAGUGGGGGAUCUUCGGACCUCACGCUAUCAGAUGAGCCUAGGUCGGAUUAGCUAGUUGGUGAGGUAAUGGCUCACCAAGGCUACGAUCCGUAACUGGUCUGAGAGGAUGAUCAGUCACACUGGAACUGAGACACGGUCCAGACUCCUACGGGAGGCAGCAGUGGGGAAUAUUGGACAAUGGGCGAAAGCCUGAUCCAGCCAUGCCGCGUGUGUGAAGAAGGUCUUCGGAUUGUAAAGCACUUUAAGUUGGGAGGAAGGGUACUUACCUAAUACGUGAGUAUUUUGACGUUACCGACAGAAUAAGCACCGGCUAACUCUGUGCCAGCAGCCGCGGUAAUACAGAGGGUGCAAGCGUUAAUCGGAAUUACUGGGCGUAAAGCGCGCGUAGGUGGUUUGUUAAGUUGGAUGUGAAAGCCCCGGGCUCAACCUGGGAACUGCAUCCAAAACUGGCAAGCUAGAGUAUGGUAGAGGGUGGUGGAAUUUCCUGUGUAGCGGUGAAAUGCGUAGAUAUAGGAAGGAACACCAGUGGGCGAAGGCGACCACCUGGACUGAUACUGACACURAGGUGCGAAAGCGUGGGGAGCAAACAGGAUUAGAUACCYUGGUAGUCCACGCCGUAAACGAUGUCAACUAGCCGUUGGRAGCCUUGAGCUCUUAGUGGCGCAGCUAACGCAUUAAGUUGACCGCCUGGGGAGUACGGCCGCAAGGUUAAAACUCAAAUGAAUUGACGGGGGCCCGCACAAGCGGUGGAGCAUGUGGUUUAAUUCGAAGCAACGCGAAGAACCUUACCAGGCCUUGACAUCCAAUGAACUUUCCAGAGAUGGAUUGGUGCCUUCGGGAACAUUGAGACAGGUGCUGCAUGGCUGUCGUCAGCUCGUGUCGUGAGAUGUUGGGUUAAGUCCCGUAACGAGCGCAACCCUUGUCCUUAGUUACCAGCACGUUAUGGUGGGCACUCUAAGGAGACUGCCGGUGACAAACCGGAGGAAGGUGGGGAUGACGUCAAGUCAUCAUGGCCCUUACGGCCUGGGCUACACACGUGCUACAAUGGUCGGUACAAAGGGUUGCCAAGCCGCGAGGUGGAGCUAAUCCCAUAAAACCGAUCGUAGUCCGGAUCGCAGUCUGCAACUCGACUGCGUGAAGUCGGAAUCGCUAGUAAUCGCGAAUCAGAAUGUCGCGGUGAAUACGUUCCCGGGCCUUGUACACACCGCCCGUCACACCAUGGGAGUGGGUUGCACCAGAAGUAGCUAGUCUAACCUUCGGGGGGACGGUUACCACGGUGUGAUUCAKKACUGGGGUGAAGUCGUAACAAGGUACCCGGAA